UACAUCAACAAGUGGUAACAUUGCAUUAUAAGUUCUGUGCACAAUUUUGAAUUAUAAUUAAAAGUGAAAGUGACAUGAAAAUAAUGACAGACAAGGUAUGUGACAGUCGAGUGUUAUUUCAAGCUGGUGUGUCUAAGUUGUAGGCAUUUUAACUGCUUGGGUAAAUGGAUGUUCUCUUAUGAACACGUUGACAUAGUUAGUAACAUGCUUUCAACAUUGCAUGAGAAGUUAAGAAAAAAAAAAGUGGUGUGCAAGCUUAAGUGAAUCGGUUUCAUAACAAAU